GAUGAACGCUAGCUACAGGCUUAACACAUGCAAGUCGAGGGGAAACGCCAUUGAAGCUUGCUUCGAUGGUCGUCGACCGGCGCACGGGUGAGUAACGCGUAUCCAACCUGCCUCUGACCAAGGGAUAACCCGUCGAAAGUCGGCCUAAUACCUUAUGCAGUCGUCGGAAGUCAUCUGAUGACGACGAAAGAUUUCAUCGGUGAGAGAUGGGGAUGCGUCUGAUUAGCUUGUUGGCGGGGUAACGGCCCACCAAGGCAACGAUCAGUAGGGGUUCUGAGAGGAAGGUCCCCCACAUUGGAACUGAGACACGGUCCAAACGACUACGGGAGGCAGCAGUGAGGAAUAUUGGGCAAUGGGCGAGAGCCUGAACCAGCCAAGUAGCGUGCAGGAUGACGGCCCUAUGGGUUGUAAACUGCUUUUAGGCGGGGAUAAAGUGAGGGACGUGUCCUUCAUUGCAGGUACCGCAUGAAUAAGGACCGGCUAAUUCCGUG
rnacentral:rRNA from 1 species